rnacentral:rRNA from 1 species
UGACAAUGGGGGCAACCUAGAUCUAGCCAUGCCGCGUGAGAGAAGAAUACCAUAGGGUCGUAAAGCUCUUUCGCCAGAGAUGAUAAUGACAGUAUCUGGUAAAGAAACCCCGGCUAACUCUGUGCCAGCAGCCGCUGUAAUACGGAGGGGGUUAGCGUUGUUCGGAAUUACUGGGCGUAAAGCGCACGUAGGCGGAUUAGUAAGUUAGAGGUGAAAUCCCAGGGCUCAACCCUGGAACUGCCUUUAAUACUGCUAGUCUAGAGUUCGAGAGAGGUAAGUGGAAUUCCGAGUGUAGAGGUGAAAUUCGUAGAUAUUCGGAGGAACACCAGUGGCGAAGGCGGCUUACUGGCUCGAUACUGACGCUGAGGUGCGAAAGUGUGGGGAGCAAACAGGAUUAGAUACCUUGGUAGUCCACACUGUAAACGAUGAAUGCCAGACGUCAGCAAGUAUACUUGUUGUGUCACACUAACAGGAUAAGCAUCC